GUGCUUGCUUCGGUAGCACAAAUAUUAAAACUGGAAUGAUACAUGACCCCUGUGUGAGGAUGCCAGGCAAAUUUGUAAAGCAUUCCAUAUCUUU
rnacentral:snRNA from 1 species